UGAACAGUAGCUAAACGGUAUAGCAAUAGAUUUUUAUGCGCGGGUUCGAUUCCCGUCUUCAC
rnacentral:tRNA from 1 species